ensembl:lncRNA
GUACAGGCAAACAGUUCCAAAUAAGGGAAUGCAUGCUGUGCGAGUGUAAUGCUCUGCUUUCCUUAGUGGCAUGUUUUCAGCAAGUUUGCCAUGUGCUACAGCUGGCCUAGGCAGGAUUUUGCAAAAGGAAAGAAGAAUAUUCACACUAAGGUCCCUGAAGCCACACUUCUGCAAACUAGCAGCUACCAAAAAACUGUACAAUCUGCAGGAGAAAGCACCGUCUUCUGAUGGUUUGAGAAGCACCCAGAGUACUUUGAGUCUAGGCAGAGUAAAAGUAGAACUAAUAAUGCUGGAGACCAGGACUUGUACUUCAAAACCCUACAACUGAUGGAUCUCAAGUAUAUGCUAUUGACCAGAAGUGUAUUCAAUUUGCAACCCUAUGUGUCCAGUAAAUCCAUUACUUAUUGCAGGGUUAUCUCAGGGGGCUUUAAAUUUUCACCUGGGUUGCUGAAAUCAUAAUUUUACCUAGGCUAUUUUAGAUAUUUUAGAACUAGAAAGCAGGAAUAAGAGAGUAAUAAAU